UGGUUAUAAUAGCAGAGAGGAUACACCUGUUCCCAUUCCGAACACAGAAGUUAAGCUCUCUAGCGCUGAUGGUACUUGUGGGAAAACUGCCUGGGAGAGUAGGACAUAGCCAGGUG
rnacentral:rRNA from 1 species